CUCUGUAUAGCUCAGUUGGUAAUUAGAGCGCUGCAUUGAAAUCGCAGGGCCGCGCGCGCAGGUUCGAUUCCAGGCAGAGG